AUUCCAGCUCCAAUAGCGUAUAUUCAUGUUGUUGCAGUUAAAAAGCUCGUAGUUGAACAUCAGAUGCGGCGGGGUGGUGCGCUUCGGCGCUACUGCCUCUCUAUAGCGUCUAGAAUGCGAGGCGCAGCACGCAAGUGUUGGCAGCCCGCGGGUUACUGUGAGGAAAUUAGAGUGUUUAAAGCAGGCGUUUGCUUGAAUACUGCAGCAUGGAAUAACGAGUAGGACUCCGGUUCUGCUUUGUUGGUUUGAGGGCCAGAGUAAUGGUUAAUAGGAACAGUUGGGGGCAUUAGUAUUCAGUAGUCAGAGGUGAAAUUCUUGGAUUUACUGAAGACUGACUAGUGCGAAAGCAUUUGCCAAGGAUGUUUCCAUUAAUCAAGAACGAAAGUUAGGGGAUCGAAGACGAUUAGAUACCGUCGUAGUCUUAACUGUAAACUACGCCGACUAGGGAUCGGUGGCUGUCAUCUUGACACCAUCGGCACCUUGUGAGAAAUCAAAGUUAUUGGGUUCUGGGGAGAGUAUGGUCGCAAGGCUGAAAUUUAAAGGAAUUGACGGAAGGGCACACCAAGAGUGGAUUCUGCGGCUUAAUUUGACUCAACACGGGAAAACUCACCAGGUCCGGACAUAAGAAGGAUUGACAGAUUGAAAGCUCUUUCUUGAUUUUAUGGGAGGUGGUGCAUGGCCGUUCGUAGUUGGUGGAGUGAUUUGUCUGGUUAAUUCCGAUAACGAACGAGACCUAAACCUGCUAAAUAGGGGUGGGCACGCGAGUGCUUCGCACCUUCUUAGAGGGACUGAAUACGUUUAGUAUUCGGAAGUUUUAGGCAAUAACAGGUCUGUGAUGCCC
rnacentral:rRNA from 1 species